GGGUCCGAGUUGUAAUUUGUAGAGGAUGUUUCGGGAGCGGUGCCGGUCUAAGUCCUUUGGAACAGGGCGUCAUAGAGGGUGAGAAUCCCGUAUGUGACCGGCGGCCAACCCCAUGUGAAACCCCUUCGACGAGUCGAGUUGUUUGGGAAUGCAGCUCAAAAUGGGUGGUAAAUUUCAUCUAAAGCUAAAUACCGGCCAGAGACCGAUAGCGCACAAGUAGAGUGAUCGAAAGAUGAAAAGCACUUUGGAAAGAGAGUCAAAAAGUACGUGAAAUUGUUGAAAGGGAAGCGCUGGCGACCAGACCUGUCCGCGGGCGAUCAGCCGCUGUUCUCAGCGGUGCACUCGUCCGCGAUCAGGCCAGCAUCGGUUUGGGCGGUUGGAUAAAGGCCCCGAGAACGUAGCUCCCUCCGGGGAGUGUUAUAGCUCGGGGUGCAAUGCGGCCAGCCCAGACCGAGGACCGCGCUUCGGCUAGGAUGCUGGCGUAAUGGUCGUCAGCGACCCGUCUUGAAACACGGA
rnacentral:rRNA from 1 species